rnacentral:tRNA from 1 species
AGAAAGGUGACUGAGUGGCUGAAGGUGGGCAGCUCCAUUUAUGGACUGCUCUUUUGUGUUCGAUUAGUCGUAUCGCAGAACGCAGGUUCGAAUCCUGCCCUUUCUU